UCCCGUUUAGCUCAGUUGGUAGAGCGCGUCACUAGUAUGCUGCUAUGACGAGGUCAGUCGUUCGAGUCGGCUAAUGGGAA